GCGUAGGUAACCUGCCUGGUAGCGGGGGAUAACUAUUGGAAACGAUAGCUAAUACCGCAUAAGAGUAGAUGUUGCAUGACAUUUGCUUAAAAGGUGCACUUGCAUCACUACCAGAUGGACCUGCGUUGUAUUAGCUAGUUGGUGGGGUAACGGCUCACCAAGGCGACGAUACAUAGCCGACCUGAGAGGGUGAUCGGCCACACUGGGACUGAGACACGGCCCAGACUCCUACGGGAGGCAGCAGUAGGGAAUCUUCGGCAAUGGACGGAAGUCUGACCGAGCAACGCCGCGUGAGUGAAGAAGGUUUUCGGAUCGUAAAGCUCUGUUGUAAGAGAAGAACGAGUGUGAGAGUGGAAAGUUCACACUGUGACGGUAUCUUACCAGAAAGGGACGGCUAACUACGUGCCAGCAGCCGCGGUAAUACGUAGGUCCCGAGCGUUGUCCGGAUUUAUUGGGCGUAAAGCGAGCGCAGGCGGUUAGAUAAGUCUGAAGUUAAAGGCUGUGGCUUAACCAUAGUAGGCUUUGGAAACUGUUUAACUUGAGUGCAAGAGGGGAGAGUGGAAUUCCAUGUGUAGCGGUGAAAUGCGUAGAUAUAUGGAGGAACACCGGUGGCGAAAGCGGCUCUCUGGCUUGUAACUGACGCUGAGGCUCGAAAGCGUGGGGAGCAAACAGG
rnacentral:rRNA from 1 species